rnacentral:rRNA from 1 species
CCCUUAGAUGUUCUGGGCUGCACGCGCGCUACACUGAAGCGUUCAACGAGUAUUCACCUUGCCCGGGAGGGUUGGGUAAUCUUUUUAAAACGCUUCGUGAUGGGGAUAGAUUAUUGCAAUUAUUAAUCUUCAACGAGGAAUUCCUAGUAAGCGCGAGUCAUCAGCUCGUGCUGAUUACGUCCCUGCCCUUUGUACACACCGCCCGUCGCUCCUACCGAUUGGGUGUGCUGGUGAAAUGUUCGGAUCGGCCGUUUGUCGCGGUUUCCGCGUCAUGUGGCUGAGAAGUUCAUUAAACCCUCCCACCUAGAGGAAGGAGAAGUCGUAACA